GUGCAGUGGCCGUGGGUUGUACAUGUGGCACAUUAAAUAACACACAGGUUUAGUGCUGGGCACAGAUACUGCCCCCAGGAAGGUCCCUUUGCUCGUGCACAGCCUUGAGGGAGCUGUCCCUAGUGCUGGGCACAGAUACUGCCCCCAGGAAGGUCCCUUUGCUCAUGCACGGCCUUGAGGGAGCUGUCCCCACCCUCAGCUCGGCCCAGUUUGCUGUGAGCUGGGGGAAACUGGGACACCCUGACUGAGGGGGGCAGGAGCUGCUCAGGGAGGGGCUGGGUCGCCCUGGGCCAGCUCCUGUGCCCGGGUGGGGACAGGGCUGCCACCUGCCACCUCCUGUGGCUCUGCUGAGGGGACACAGCUUGGAGACCCCUCACCUUUUCCUCCUCAGGGCUCCCUGCAGGGCACUUCUGCAGCUCCAGGGCUGAGGCUUCAGGGCAUGCCUUAAGUUUUACCUUUCAUAUUUCCAGGCUCUGCAGGGCAUUGGUGUGUGACUCUGAACUCCACACAAAGUGUCACAAGUUCUCCUCCCAGCUCAGCCACACAAAACAAUCCUUUCCCAGCCCCACAACCAAGGACAGCGCUGCAGCUUCAGCCCCAAAAAGUGCAACCAGCAUUGAAUGGAGGAGAGAAUCUGGGAGGAUGGGAGUGCAGAAGCUGCAGCUGGGAUGGGACAGUGAAGCCAAGGUGGAAAUGGAGCCAAAGUGAUGCAAGUGUGAGAACUCGUGACUCGGAUCCAUCUUGGGCCCAUCUUGGGUGGAGCCACGGCCGGGCUCUGGCACUGCCCAAGGGGAAUCCUUUGGAGGCCUUGGGAUAAAUCCCUGCUUGAUUCCUGUGCCACUGCCCAGCCUCUGCUCCAGGGAGCCUCUCCAGGCAGCACCCCUCCUCUCCUGUCUCACGGCUCUGGUGGAUCUGCAGCAUCUUGUGCCAUAAAAGCAAAUCCUGAAAAUAACCUGACUUUCAGGCAUUGGAUCUGUUUCCAGAAGAUAAUUAGCCAAGAACUGGAACAAGAGACCUCAGUGCUCGCACACCACCCGUUUUCCAGGGUCACCCCCUCUGCUGGGAAUCCUCUGUGUUCCACGGGGUGUCUUCCCAAGGCCCAGCUUUGCCUUAAUCUGCAUUAAAAAGAGCUGGAAAGCUUUGGGACACCUGCUGCUGCCCUGGGGCCGUGAUCACUCAUUCACAUGCACGUCCAUGAAUUGACAGGAUGCUCUCCCGGGUUCAGCAGCUCUGGACCAGCCUCUCACUGAACAAAUGAAGCAAACACCCCUCCAGAACACACUCCAAAAAAUGAUUGCCUUCCCCGUGUUGAAUUGUGAGGCUCAGGCCAUUGGUUCUGGCUGGGAUUCGGGCUCUGUACAAUCACACUUCAUUGUUUUCUAAUGAAAUGCAUGAUCGAGUUAAAUGAACAUGAAUGGAAGCAACAGUGCUGCAGACAAGAAAGCAGGAGGGAUCUAUAAUUAAUGUGAUCAUCGGAAAAAAAGCUGUGUGAUACCAUUCCAUCAAUUAUCAGCCUCUAAUAAUUCUGUCACUGAGUAAAUGAAAGCAUUUUAUCAAUUAGUGCCAAUCGUUUCCCCAUAAAGAGAACUGAAUGCUGCUGAAAACCAAAUCAUAACUGCAGCAAUGGAAAAAGC
ensembl:lncRNA